rnacentral:rRNA from 1 species
AGAGCGAACGCUGGCGGCAGGCCUAAUACAUGCAAGUCGAGCGCACCUUCGGGUGAGCGGCGGACGGGUGAGUAACGCGUGGGAACGUGCCCUUUGGUACGGAACAACUGAGGGAAACUUCAGCUAAUACCGUAUGUGCCCUUCGGGGGAAAGAUUUAUCGCCAUUGGAGCGGCCCGCGUUGGAUUAGCUAGUUGGUAGGGUAAAAGCCUACCAAGGCUACGAUCCAUAGCUGGUCUGAGAGGAUGAUCAGCCACACUGGGACUGAGACACGGCCCAGACUCCUACGGGAGGCAGCAGUAGGGAAUCUUGCGCAAUGGGCGAAAGCCUGACGCAGCCAUGCCGCGUGAAUGAUGAAGGUCUUAGGAUUGUAAAAUUCUUUCACCGGGGAAGAUAAUGACGGUACCCGGAGAAGAAGCCCCGGCUAACUCGUGCCAGCAGCCGC